rnacentral:tRNA from 1 species
CAGGGAGACAACAAAAUGUUUAAUAUUAUUAUUUUGUCACCUUAGGUCGAUCGGUAUCUCACAUUCUUAAUUUAUUAAGGAUUUUAUUUCCUAAGUUUUUUCUAGGUCACACCCAUUACUUUUCCUGGGCCAUUAGCUCAGGUGGUUAGAGCGCACCCCUGAUAAGGGUGAGGUCCCUGGUUCAAGUCCAGGAUGGCCCAUAUCUCUAUGUUGGGGGUAUAGCUCAGUUGGUAGAGCACCUGCUUUGCAAGCAGGAUGUCAGCGGUUCGAGUCCGCUUACCUCCACUGAUUACCACCUCUUCCAUAAUUAUUAAGGAAAUGUUUUGAGUAGUGAUCAAAUUCUGAACGAAUCUAGCUUCCUAAUGAAUUCAUUAAGAUGCUGGACUCAUUGAAUUAUUUUCAUUGUUUUCAGAGAACCUUGACAAUUGCAUAGAUUAUUUUUAAAGACAAUAAGCAUCUUUAUGAUGCAGAUUUAUUAUUUGUGCGAAUGCAUUAAUAACAAUUCUAUUAAGCUGAUGCUUCAAUUAUGAAGUUAUU